rnacentral:rRNA from 1 species
GACGAACGCUGGCGGCGUGCUUAACACAUGCAUGUCGAACGGAAAGGCCCUGCUUUUGUGGGGUGCUCGAGUGGCGAACGGGUGAGUAACACGUGAGUAACCUGCCCUUGACUUUGGGAUAACUUCAGGAAACUGGGGCUAAUACCGGAUAGGAGCUCCUGCUGCAUGGUGGGGGUUGGAAAGUUUCGGCGGUUGGGGAUGGACUCGCGGCUUAUCAGCUUGUUGGUGGGGUAGUGGCUUACCAAGGCUUUGACGGGUAGCCGGCCUGAGAGGGUGACCGGCCACAUUGGGACUGAGAUACGGCCCAGACUCCUACGGGAGGCAGCAGUGGGGAAUAUUGCACAAUGGGCGGAAGCCUGAUGCAGCAACGCCGCGUGCGGGAUGACGGCCUUCGGGUUGUAAACCGCUUUCGCCUGUGACGAGGCGUGAGUGACGGUAAUGGGUAAAGAAGCACCGGCUAACUACGUGCCAGCAGCCGCGGUGAUACGUAGGGUGCGAGCGUUGUCCGGAUUUAUUGGGCGUAAAGGGCUCGUAGGUGGUUGAUCGCGUCGGAAGUGUAAUCUUGGGGCUUAACCCUGAGCGUGCUUUCGAUACGGGUUGACUUGAGGAAGGUAGGGGAGAAUGGAAUUCCUGGUGGAGCGGUGGAAUGCGCAGAUAUCAGGAGGAACACCAGUGGCGAAGGCGGUUCUCUGGGCCUUUCCUGACGCUGAGGAGCGAAAGCGUGGGGAGCGAACAGGCUUAGAUACCCUGGUAGUCCACGCUGUAAACGGUGGGUACUAGGUGUGGGGUCCAUUCCACGGGUUCCGUGCCGUAGCUAACGCUUUAAGUACCCCGCCUGGGGAGUACGGCCGCAAGGCUAAAACUCAAAGGAAUUGACGGGGCCCCGCACAAGCGGCGGAGCAUGCGGAUUAAUUCGAUGCAACGCGUAGAACCUUACCUGGGUUUGACAUGGAUCGGGAGUGCUCAGAGAUGGGUGUGCCUCUUUUGGGGUCGGUUCACAGGUGGUGCAUGCCUGUCGUCAGCUCGUGUCGUGAGAUGUUGGGUUAAGUCCCGCAACGAGCGCAACCCUUGUUCACUGUUGCCAGCACGUUAUGGUGGGGACUCAGUGGAGACCGCCGGGGUCAACUCGGAGGAAGGUGGGGAUGACGUCAAGUCCUCAUGCCCCUUAUGUCCAGGGCUUCACGCAUGCUACAAUGGCUGGUACAGAGAGUGGCGAGCCUGUGAGGGUGAGCGAAUCUCGGAAAGCCGGUCUCAGUUCGGAUUGGGGUCUGCAACUCGACCUCAUGAAGUCGGAGUCGCUAGUAAUCGCAGAUCAGCAACGCUGCGGUGAAUACGUUCCCGGG